UAGGGAAUCUUCGGCAAUGGACGAAAGUCUGACCGAGCAACGCCGCGUGAGUGAAGAAGGUCUUCGGGUCGUAAAACUCUGUUGUUAGAGAAGAACAAGGACGUUAGUAACUGAACGUCCCCUGACGGUAUCUAACCAGAAAGCCACGGCUAACUACGUGCCAGCAGCCGCGGUAAUACGUAGGUGGCAAGCGUUGUCCGGAUUUAUUGGGCGUAAAGCGAGCGCAGGCGGUUUCUUAAGUCUGAUGUGAAAGCCCCCGGCUAAACCGGGGAGGGUCAUUGGAAACUGGGAGACUUGAGUGCGGAAGAGGAGAGUGGAAUUCCAUGUGUAGCGGUGAAAUGCGUAGAUAUAUGGAGGAACACCAGUGGCGAAGGCGGCUCUCUGGUCUGUAACUGACGCUGAGGCUCAAAAGCGUGGGGGGCAAACAGG
rnacentral:rRNA from 1 species